rnacentral:rRNA from 1 species
GAUGAACGCUGGCGGCGUGCCUAAUACAUGCAAGUCGAGCGAAUGGACGAGAAGCUUGCUUCUCUGAUGUUAGCGGCGGACGGGUGAGUAACACGUGGAUAACCUACCUAUAAGACUGGGAUAACUUCGGGAAACCGGAGCUAAUACCGGAUAAUAUUUUGAACCGCAUGGUUCAAAAGUGAAAGACGGUCUUGCUGUCACUUAUAGAUGGAUCCGCGCUGCAUUAGCUAGUUGGUAAGGUAACGGCUUACCAAGGCAACGAUGCAUAGCCGAACUGAGAGGGUGAUCGGCCACACUAGAACUGGGACACGGUCCAGACUCCUACGGGAGGCAGCAGUAGGGAAUCUGACGCAAUGGGCGAAAGCCUGACGGAGCAACGCCGCGUGAGUGAUGAAGGUCUUCGGAUCGUAAAACUCUGUUAUUAGGGAAGAACAUAUGUGUAAGUAACUGUGCACAUCUUGACGGUACCUAAUCAGAAAGCCACGGCUAACUACGUG